UAGGGAAUCUUCGGCAAUGGACGAAAGUCUGACCGAGCAACGCCGCGUGAGUGAAGAAGGGUUUCGGAUCGUAAAACUCUGUUGUUAGAGAAGAACAAGGACGUUAGUAACUGAACGUCCCCUGACGGUAUCUAACCAGAAAGCCACGGCUAACUACGUGCCAGCAGCCGCGGUAAUACGUAGGUUGCAAGCGUUGUCCGGAUUUAUUGGGCGUAAAGCGAGCGCAGGCGGUUUCUUAAGUCUGAUGUGAAAGCCCCCGGCUCAACCGGGGAGGGUCAUUGGAAACUGGGAGACUUGAGUGCAGAAGAGGAGAGUGGAAUUCCAUGUGUAGCGGUGAAAUGCGUAGAUAUAUGGAGGAACACCAGUGGCGAAGGCGGCUCUCUGGUCUGUAACUGACGCUGAGGCUCGAAAGCGUGGGGAGCAAACAGG
rnacentral:rRNA from 1 species